UACGAAGGGGGCAAGCGUUGUUCGGAAUUACUGGGCGUAAAGCGCACGUAGGCGGAUUGUUAAGUCGGGGGUGAAAUCCUGGAGCUCAACUCCAGAACUGCCUUCGAUACUGGCGAUCUCGAGUUCGGGAGAGGUGAGUGGAACUGCGAGUGUAGAGGUGAAAUUCGUAGAUAUUCGCAAGAACACCAGUGGCGAAGGCGGCUCACUGGCCCGAUACUGACGCUGAGGUGCGAAAGCGUGGGGAGCAAACAGG
rnacentral:rRNA from 1 species